rnacentral:rRNA from 1 species
UACGUAGGGUGCAAGCGUUAAUCGGAAUUACUGGGCGUAAAGCGCACGUAGGCGGACUGAAAAGUCAGAGGUGAAAUCCCAGGGCUCAACCUUGGAACUGCCUUUGAAACCCUCAGUCUUGAGGUCGAGAGAGGUGAGUGGAAUUCCGAGUGUAGAGGUGAAAUUCGUAGAUAUUCGGAGGAACACCAGUGGCGAAGGCGGCUCACUGGCUCGAUACUGACCCUGAGGUGCGAAAGCGUGGGGAGCAAACAGG